rnacentral:rRNA from 1 species
UGGGGGAUAUUGCACAAUGGGCGAAAGCCUGAUGCAGCGACGCCGCGUGGGGGAUGAAGGCCUUCGGGUUGUAAACUUCUUUUGCUCUGAACAAGGCAUGCCUUUGGGGUGUGUUGAGUGUAGGGGUUGAUUAGCGCCGGCUAACUACGUGCCAGCAGCCGCGGUAAUAUGUAGGGCGCGAGCGUUGUCCGGAAUUAUUGGGCGUAAAGGGCUUGUAGGUGGCUGGUUGCGUCUGUCGUGAAAGCUCAUGGCUUAACUGUGGGUUUGCGGUGGGUACGGGCUGGCUUGAGUGCAGUAGGGGAGGCUGGAAUUCCUGGUGUAGCGGUGGAAUGCGCAGAUAUCAGGAGGAAUACCGGUGGCGAAGGCGGGUCUCUGGGCUGUUACUGACGCUGAGGAGCGAAAGCGUGGGGAGCGAACAGG